UGUUUUUGUGUCUUAAGCAUAAUUGAACCACAUUAUUCCAUCUCGAACUAAAUCGUGAAAAGUUAUAGCGGAAGUAUUAUUAAGAGCGGGAGCUCUUGGGAACAACUUCUCGAUGCAAAAUA
rnacentral:rRNA from 1 species